rnacentral:rRNA from 1 species
UACGUAGGGCGCAAGCGUUAUCCGGAAUUAUUGGGCGUAAAGAGCUCGUAGGCGGUUUGUCGCGUCUGCCGUGAAAGUCCGGGGCUUAACCCCGGAUCUGCGGUGGGUACGGGCAGACUUGAGUGAUGUAGGGGAGACUGGAAUUCCUGGUGUAGCGGUGAAAUGCGCAGAUAUCAGGAGGAACACCGAUGGCGAAGGCAGGUCUCUGGGCAUUAACUGACGCUGAGGAGCGAAAGCAUGGGGAGCGAACAGGAUUAGAUACC